UGAGAGGCUGUGUGGGCAGGAAAGCUGUCAGCUCUCUGUCUCUGCUAGUCUGAAAUGGGCAUAUUUCUGUGGAAUAUUUUAAUUUCAGAUAAUGGUUUUUACUUGUAAAGCGCCUCAUGUGAAACUGUCUGAUGAGCAUAUAGCUGUACUGUUCUGUCUCAGCACGAUGAAAUGUUUGCUGACCUGGCACAUUGCAGGUGAUUAGUAGUGUUUGCUGUUGGAACAAAGUGCAGCUAAUCAUGGUCAUAUUUGACCAAAAUAAGGUCUUUGGAGGCAGGGAAUGUGGACGUGUCAAAGUUUGCAGAUAAAAGGAGGGAGCAGCACAGCUGGUUGUGUGAGAUGGAACAUGAAGCAGCAUGUGACCUUUCUGCCUCUGGCUCCUCUUCCUAGGGCUGACUGGUGACAAUUUCUAAGGUACUGAAAGUUUCAGGCCGGAGGUUUUCCUGUGCUCUCCGUAGCUGCUGCCCAGUGCUGCCCUGAGGAGAAGCAGUGUUGUGAAGGCGGGUGCUGCCCUGAGGGAAAGCAGUGGGAAGGCUGCUGCUCCUUGCCUACAGGGUGUCAGGGCCAGGCUCAUCGCAAGGCCUGCUGG
rnacentral:lncRNA from 1 species